AAACUGGAGAUGGCGACCGGCGCACGGGUGAGUAACACGUAUCCAACCUGCCGACGACUCGGGGAUAGCCUUUCGAAAGAAAGAUUAAUACCCGAUGGCAUAGUUCUUCCGCAUGGUGGAACUAUUAAAGAAUUUCGGUCAUCGAUGGGGAUGCGUUCCAUUAGGUUGUUGGCGGGGUAACGGCCCACCAAGCCUUCGAUGGGUAGGGGUUCUGAGAGGAAGGUCCCCCACAUUGGAACUGAGACACGGUCCAAACUCCUACGGGAGGCAGCAUG
rnacentral:rRNA from 1 species